AGAGUUGAUCAUGGCUCAGGACGAACGCUGGCGGCGUGCUUAACACAUGCAAGUCGAACGGGAGUAUUGAAGAAGCUUGCUUUAGAGAUACUUUAGUGGCGGACGGGUGAGUAACGCGUGAGGAACUGUCCUAUGCAGGGGGACAACAGCUGGAAACGGCUGCUAAUACCCCAUAAGCCGAGAGGUAAAAGGAUCAAUCCGGCAGAGGAGGUACUCGCGUCCUAUCAGCUAGUAGGUGAGGUAACGGCUCACCUAGGCGAAGACGGGUAGCCGGCCUGAGAGGGCGAACGGCCACACUGGAACUGAGAUACGGUCCAGACUCCUACGGGAGGCAGCAGUGGGGAAUAUUGGGCAAUGGGGGAAACCCUGACCCAGCGACGCCGCGUGGGUGAAGAAAUCCUUCGGGAUGUAAAGCCCUGUUGUAUGGGAAGAGCGGAAGACGGUACCAUACGAGGAAGCCCCGGCAAACUACGUGCCAGCAGCCGC
rnacentral:rRNA from 1 species